UAGAGGGAUACGUAAGAGAUUACGUAGCUGCUUGCAGUCUCUAUACAGGUGCUGCAUGGCUGUCGUCAGCUCGUGCUGUGAAGUGUUGGGGUUAAGUCCCGCAACGAGCGCAACCCCUUUUGUCUGUUACCAGCAAGUAAAGUUGGGGACUCAGACGGAACUGCCCGGUGACAAACCGGAGGAAGGUGGGGACGACGUCAAGUCAUCAUGGCCCUUAUAUCCUGGGCUACACACGUGCUACAAUGGCAGGUACAGAGCGAAGCGAAGCAGCGAUGCGGAGCAAAUCGCAGAAAGCCUGUCUCAGUACAGAUUGGAGUCUGAAACUCGACUCCAUGAAGGUGGAAUCGCUAGUAAUCGCGCAUCAGCAUGGCGCGGUGAAUACGUUCCCGGGCCUU
rnacentral:rRNA from 1 species